UCUUGUUUUCUAGCUUUUUUGUUUAGAAAACAUGUGAGGUAUUAGACAACAAUAACAAUGCGUGGCAAAUUGAGGCGUUUUUAUAAUGCAUGCAAGCAGCAGUUGCAAUAGUUAUUAUGUUUUGGGGUUUUUUAUGCUUGUCAGUGGUUUGCAGCAAAUUGGGGGGUUGGUUUGUUCCAGCCAAUAGUGGAGAAGGGCAGAGAAAGACCGCAAAGCGAGAGCCCAAUCGCUUCUAGGCUGCAUGUAGUGGGUGUGCAGUGCCUAGAUAUUUGUGGGAUAGAUCUUAAAAGGUAUCCACCGCAGCAUAAUGCCCGACAGUGUAUUCAUUAUUGCUGCCUUCAUUAAUGCCAUUGAAGAGAUUCUGACAGGCGUGAAGGCACGCACAUAAAAAUUUAUUAGCGGCUGAAUCCUGACAAGAGUGCGACAGUGUGGCGUAUUGAUCUGCGCGAUCACUUUCUAGUGCGCACAGUCCACCGUAGGCGGGAGCAGCGGUGGUCAAGCCUGCUCUCUUUAGGAGGGGCCCCAGUGUGGAGGCAGCACUGUGCACUGUGGUGCAUACCGAAGCCCAGAUACAUGCCUGCAUUUCACUUGUGGCUAGCAGCUGUAUAGUUGCGUUCAGGGUCGAAUCAGGGGGAGCUUUGUGAACAGGUUCUGACUGCUGCAGGUGGCCAUAUUGUGGUGAUCAUUCCCAGUUAAAAUGUCUCAUCGGAGUGGGCAAGAGGACCCAGAGCGCUACCUGUUUGUGGACCGGGCUGUGGUUUACAACCCAGCCACACAGGCUGACUGGACGGCCAAGAAGCUAGUGUGGGUCCCCUCCGAGCGCCAUGGCUUUGAGGCGGCGGGUAUCCGAGAAGAGCGUGGCGAGGAAGUGCUAGUGGAGUUGGCAGAGAAUGGUAAAAAGGUGGUGAUCAACAAGGAUGACAUCCAGAAGAUGAACCCACCCAAAUUUAGCAAGGUGGAAGACAUGGCUGAACUCACCUGCCUGAAUGAGGCGUCUGUGCUGCACAACCUGAAGGACCGCUACUACUCUGGACUCAUAUAUACAUACUCUGGGCUUUUCUGCGUGGUCAUCAACCCCUACAAGAACCUGCCCAUCUAUUCGGAGAACAUCAUUGAGAUGUACAGAGGGAAGAAGAGGCAUGAGAUGCCUCCGCACAUUUAUGCCAUCUCUGAAUCAGCAUACCGCUGCAUGCUUCAAGACCGUGAGGACCAAUCAAUUCUUUGCACAGGUGAAUCAGGCGCUGGCAAGACAGAGAACACGAAGAAGGUCAUCCAGUACCUGGCCCACGUUGCCUCCUCACACAAAGGACGCAAAGAUCACAACAUUCCUCCCGAUUCUCCCAAAGCAUUCAAACUACAGGGUGAGUUGGAACGCCAGCUCCUGCAAGCCAACCCCAUCCUUGAAUCUUUUGGCAAUGCCAAGACAGUGAAAAAUGACAACUCAUCUCGCUUUGGAAAGUUCAUCAGAAUCAACUUUGACGUCACAGGCUACAUUGUUGGGGCCAAUAUUGAAACCUAUCUUCUGGAGAAGUCAAGAGCGAUUAGACAGGCCAAAGAUGAGAGGACCUUUCACAUUUUCUAUCGGCUGCUGGCAGGGGCUGGAGAGCAUCUUCGAACGGAUCUGCUCCUCGAAGGCUUUAACAACUACCGUUUCCUGUCAAAUGGUAACAUUCCCAUUCCGGGCCAGCAGGACAAGGAGAAUUUCCAGGAGACGAUGGAGGCCAUGCACAUCAUGAGUUUCUCCCAUGACGAGAUUGUCUGCAUGUUGAAGGUGGUCUCUGCAGUGCUGCAGUUUGGAAACAUUGUUUUUAAAAAGGAGAGAAACACCGAUCAAGCUUCAAUGCCUGAGAAUACAGCGGCACAGAAGCUCUGCCACCUGCUUGGAAUGAAUGUUAUGGAGUUUACCAGAGCUAUCCUCACCCCGAGGAUCAAAGUGGGGCGAGACUAUGUGCAGAAGGCACAGACCAAAGAACAGGCUGACUUUGCUGUUGAAGCCUUGGCUAAGGCGACGUAUGAGCGGCUGUUCCGCUGGCUGGUCCAUCGCAUCAACAAGGCGCUGGAUAGGACCAAACGGCAGGGGGCGUCCUUCAUUGGCAUCCUGGACAUUGCUGGCUUUGAGAUCUUUGAGCUGAACUCAUUUGAGCAGCUGUGCAUCAACUACACCAACGAGAAGCUGCAGCAGCUCUUCAACCACACCAUGUUCAUCCUGGAGCAAGAGGAGUACCAGAGGGAGGGCAUCGAGUGGAGCUUCAUCGACUUCGGCCUCGACCUGCAGCCCUGCAUCGACCUCAUCGAGAGACCGAAUAACCCCCCUGGCAUUCUCGCCCUGCUGGAUGAGGAGUGCUGGUUUCCCAAGGCCACUGACAAGACGUUUGUAGACAAAGUGCUGCAGGAGCUGGGCACACAUAGCAAGUUUCAGAAGCCACGUCAACUCAAAGACAAAGCUGACUUCUGCAUCAUCCACUAUGCAGGAAGGGUGGACUAUAAAGCUGAUGAAUGGCUUAUGAAGAACAUGGAUCCUCUGAAUGACAAUGUAGCCACGCUGUUGCACCAAUCAACUGACAAGUUUGUGGCCGAGCUCUGGAAAGAUGACAUUCAGACGUUUCAGAGAGCCUCUUUCUAUGACAAUGUGUCUGGGCUCCAUGAAGCUCCAGUUGACCGGAUAGUGGGACUGGACCAGGUUGCGGGCAUGAAUGAGACAGCGUUUGGUGCUGCCUACAAGACCAAGAAGGGCAUGUUUCGCACCGUGGGGCAGCUGUACAAGGAGCAACUGUCUAAGCUCAUGGCCACACUGAGGAACACCAACCCCAACUUUGUCCGCUGCAUCAUCCCCAACCAUGAAAAAAGGGCUGGUAAACUGGACCCCCACCUGGUUCUGGACCAGCUGAGGUGUAAUGGUGUGCUUGAGGGGAUCCGUAUCUGCAGACAGGGCUUCCCCAACCGCAUCGUCUUCCAGGAGUUUAGACAAAGGUAUGAGAUCCUCACUCCUAACGCCAUUCCCAAGGGCUUCAUGGAUGGCAAGCAGGCCUGUGAGAGAAUGAUUCAAGCCCUAGAGCUGGAUGGCAACCUUUUCCGAAUUGGCCAGAGUAAGAUCUUCUUCAGGGCCGGAGUCCUCGCCCACUUAGAGGAAGAGAGGGACCUGAAAAUCACGGACAUCAUCAUUUACUUCCAGGCUGUUUGUCGAGGAUAUCUGGCACGCAAGGCCUUCGCUAAGAAACAACAGCAGCUCAGUGCGCUAAAGGUUCUCCAGAGAAACUGUGCCGCUUACUUAAAGCUGCGUCACUGGCAGUGGUGGAGACUCUUCACUAAGGUGAAGCCCCUGCUGCAGGUGACCAGGCAGGAAGAAGAGUUGCAGGCUAAGGAUGAAGAGCUGGUCAAAGUGAAGGAGAAGCAGAUGAAGGUGGAGGGAGAGCUGGUGGAGAUGGAGAGAAAACAUCAGCAGCUAAUGGAAGAGAAGAACAUCUUAGCCGAGCAGCUGCAAGCGGAGACAGAGCUGUUCGCAGAGGCCGAGGAGAUGAGAGCUCGUCUUGCUUCCAAAAAACAAGAGCUGGAGGAGAUCCUCCACGACCUGGAGUCCAGGCUGGAGGAAGAAGAAGAGCGGAGCCAAGAGCUGCAGAACGAGAAGAAAAAGAUGCAGUCCCAUAUCCAGGACCUGGAAGAACAGUUGGAUGAGGAGGAGGCUGCCAGGCAGAAGCUGCAGCUGGAGAAAGUGACGACUGAAGCUAAAAUGAAGAAAUACGAAGAGGACAUUUUGCUGCUGGAGGACCAGAACUCCAAGUUCCUUAAGGAAAAGAAGCUGCUUGAGGACAGAAUCAAUGAGGUGACCUCGAUGCUAGCUGAAGAGGAAGAGAAGGCCAAGAACCUGGGCAAGGUCAAAAACAAGCAGGAAAUGAUGAUGGUCGACCUGGAGGAGAGGCUGAAAAAAGAGGAGAAGACCCGACAGGAGCUAGAGAAGGCUAAGAGGAAGCUGGAUGGGGAGACGUCCGACUUUCAGGACCAGAUAUCAGAGCUUCAGUCCCAGAUAGAAGAACUUAAAAUGCAGCUGAGCAAGAAAGACGACGAGCAGCAGAUGAUGCAGGCGAGGAGCGAGGAAGAAGUCAGCCAUAAGAACAAUGCUCUGAAGCAGAUUCGGGAGCUGCAGGCGCAGCUGUCUGAGCUGCAGGAGGACCUCGAGUCCGAAAAACAGGCCAGGAACAAGGCUGAGAAACUCAAGAGGGACUUGAGUGAAGAGCUUGAGGCCUUGAAGACUGAACUGGAGGACACCCUCGACACAACUGCAGCCCAGCAGGAGCUUAGGACCAAGCGUGAACAGGAGGUUGCAGAGCUGAAGAAAGCCAUUGAGGAGGAGACUAAAAACCACGAGGCUCAGAUCCAGGAGAUGCGACAGAGGCAUGCCACAGCCCUAGAAGAGCUGUCCGAACAGCUCGAACAGGCAAAGAGGUUCAAGGCUAACCUGGAAAAGACCAAACAGAGCCAAGAGACUGCCAACAAGGAGUUGGCCAGCGAGGUCAAGAGCCUGCAGCAGGCAAAGCAAGAGUCCGAACACAAGAGGAAGAAGCUGGAGGCUCAGCUGCAAGAAUUCAUGGCCAGGGUCACUGAAGGAGAGAGGGCUAAGGGAGAACUGGCUGAGCGCUCACACAAACUGCAGACUGAGCUGGACAAUGUGUCUACCAUGCUGGAAGAUGCAGAGAGGAAGGGGAUCAAGUUGGCCAAAGAUGUCGCUGGGCUAGAGAGUCAACUGCAAGACACACAGGAGCUACUCCAGGAGGAGACCCGCCAGAAACUAAACCUCAGCAGUCGAAUUCGCCAGCUGGAAGAGGAGAAAAACACUCUGCAGGAGCAGCAGGAGGAGGAUGAGGAGGCACGCAAGAAUCUGGAGAAACAGAUGUUUACCUUACAGGCUCAGCUGUCAGAGAGCAAGAAGAAGCUUGAAGACGAUGUUGGAACAAUUGAAGGUCUGGAGGAGACGAAGAAGAAGCUGCAGAAGGACCUGGAACUGGCCAACCAGCGUCUGGAGGAGAAGACGAUCGCUUUUGAAAAAAUGGAGAAGACCAAGACUCGUCUGCAGCAGGAGCUAGAUGAUCUAACUGUGGACUUGGACCACCAGAGACAGAUCGUCUCCAACCUGGAGAAGAAACAGAAGAAGUUUGACCAGAUGCUGGCUGAGGAGAAGAGCAUCUCGGCUCGUUAUGCUGAGGAGCGUGACCGUGCUGAAGCUGAGGCCAGAGAGAAGGAGACCAAAGCUUUGUCCAUGGCCAGAGCCUUGGACGAGGCACUGGAAGCCAAAGAGGAGCUAGAGAGGAUUAACAAGCAGCUCCGCGCUGAAAUGGAGGAUCUGAUGAGCUCGAAGGACGACGUGGGCAAGAAUGUCCAUGAGCUGGAGAAGUCAAAGCGCACGCUGGAGCAGCAGCUGGAGGAGAUGAAGACUCAGCUGGAGGAGCUGGAGGACGAGCUGCAGGCCACAGAGGACGCCAAGCUGCGCCUGGAGGUCAACAUGCAGGCCAUGAAGGCCCAGUAUGAGAGAGACCUGCAGGGCCGGGACGACCAGAACGAUGAGAAGAAGAGAGCACUGGUCAAGCAGGUGCGAGAGAUGGAGGCGGAGUUGGAGGAUGAGAGGAAGCAGAGAGCUUUGGCUGUGGCUGCUAGAAAGAAGCUGGAGAUGGACCUGAAGGAUAUAGAGGGUCACAUAGAAGGAGCCAACAAGGCUCGAGACGAAGCCAUCAAACAGCUGCGCAAGUUACAGGCCCAAAUGAAAGACUACCAGAGGGAGCUGGAAGACACUCGAGCUUCCAGAGACGAUAUUUUUGCCCUAUCCAAGGAAAACGAGAAGAAGCUCAAGAGCCUGGAGGCAGAGAUUGUACAGCUACAUGAGGACUUAGCAGCGUCUGAGAGGGGACGACGCCACGCGGAGCAGGAGCGCGAUGAGCUGCAAGAUGAAAUCUCAAACAGCACCUCUGGGAAGACUGCUCUGAUGGAUGAGAAGAGAAGGCUGGAGGCUCGCAUCGCCCAGCUGGAGGAGGAGCUGGAAGAGGAGCAGGGCAACAUGGAGCUACUCAAUGACCGCUUCAGAAAGACAACCAUGCAGGUGGACACUCUGACUACAGAGCUGAGCGCAGAGCGCAGCACAGCCCAGAAAAGCGAAAAUGCUCGCCAGCAACUGGAGCGUCAAAACAAGGAGCUGCGGGCCAAGCUGGGCGAGCUGGAGGGUUCUGUGAAGAACAGGUUCAAGGCCUCCAUCACUGCCCUGGAGGCCAAAAUAGCACAGCUGGAGGAACAGCUGGAGCAGGAGGCAAGGGAGCGAGCGGCAGCCAACAAGAUCGUCAGAAGGACCGAGAAGAAGCUAAAAGAAGUCUGCAUGCAAGUGGAGGAUGAGCGUCGCCAUGCCGACCAGUUUAAAGAGCAAGUGGAAAAGGCCAACUCCCGUAUGAAGCAGCUGAAGCGGCAGCUGGAGGAGGCUGAAGAGGAGGCCACGAGGGCCAACGCUUCACGUAGGAAGCUGCAGAGAGAACUGGAUGACGCCACCGAGGCCAGCGAGGGCCUGAGCCGUGAGGUCCACACUCUCAAGAACCGCCUCAGGCGUGGUGGCCCCAUCACCUUCUCCUCCAGUCGCUCAGGCAGACGUCCGCUGCAGGUCGAGGGAACUUCUUCUUUGGACCUCCUGUCCGACGAUGAGCUGGAAAACAAGAUCACUGACAACAAUGCCAAUGAGACCCCAGCGCCACAAACAGAGUAGAAGAAAAGCCUUUUGCCCUCCCUCAGUCAGCCCUAACAGACACAGCGGGACUCUCACAGCUUAAACAGGGACCCUCUUCUGACCACUUUAGCACAUAAAGUCCAAAACAUCCCCAGUUUGACUAGAUUUCCCUCUUCAAACCACAGGCAGCAUGACCUAAGCCAUCCUGACUUUCCUUUUCAACCUUAGCAGACACCAGCAGUUGGACCCCCAAUGCUCUCACCACCGCCCCACUAAAGACUGUAAGAAACGCCUUACUACUCCAGCUCUGUGCUCAGCUCCUCUAGUUGAUUUUCUUCUGCUGGAGUUCGACACCCCUGCUCAGAAUGCUUCCAAAUGCUAAAACGAUAGCACUGCAAUAUUUGAAAGGAGCGCAUCAUAAUGAAAACAGAUGCUAUUUUUUUCACCGGUCUACAAUACAUGCACCAUGUGACUCAGUUUAGUUAUAUUAGUUAUGAACUGGAACUGAUAUUGUUUGCUUUUCCAGUCCUAUGCUAGGAUUGCUUGCUUGCGUACGAGUAUAAAAUGUGAGUGUAAGCUGCUUCUUGCAUUGGUUUCUCUUACGUUCGACAGUAGGUCAGUGUUGACUUGUAAUUAUUUGGCGUGAGCGCUAAAUCGCACUCAUGUCCUCUCGCUUCAUUCUUCUUCUUCUGUGCCUUUUUUCGCUCUCUUUAAACUCUAAACCCAUUUAUGCCACAUAUACUGUUCAUAUAUUGAAACAUGCUUAAUUUCAUGAAGGUAUUUUCAUAAAGCAAAAAUCAUAAAUUUACAUUUGUAAUGGAUUAUAUUAGUGGAAACCUGAUUUACUUUGGCGUGUAUGUUGCCACGAUGAUUGAUAUGUCAGCCGUGUGGGGUUCUUUGUAGAUGGGUGCUAUGACUUUUCUUAUCAGUAACUUUUAUACUUUUUGAGUUAUUAAGAGUUAAAAACAAUCCAAUAGACAUCAACUGUAUUUAUAUCUCUGCUAUUGUAUACGAGACAAACUCCAUUCAUAUUUCAAAAUGCUCAGUAUUGCACAUUGCUCAACUGUACCUUUGCUCAUGACACGUACAGUUUAUGAGUCUUUAGAAGUUCUAUAAUGCAUUAAAGUCUAUGGAGCCCAAUACUCUCCUGGUUU